ensembl:lncRNA
GUAUGAUUCCGUGUCCAAACAAGCAUGCCGUGCAGAAAUGAAUUUCCUUAUUGCUCAGAUGAUGUGCUGAUCACGAGCCAUUACAACGAACCUGACCGCUUUAGAGCAGUGCUCACCGACCCUGCGUCCCGACUUGCACAGUCGUGCCCAAAGGUUUGCACACCCCUUUCACAAUCUGCUAAAUCGUAAUACUGUUAACAAAAUAAGAGCGAUCAUUAAAAAUCCCAUGUUUUUUAUCUAGUACUGUCCUGAAUAAGCUCUUUCACAUAACAGAUGCGUACACAGUCCGCAAGACAAGAUAAUAAUGAACAUUUUUGAACCGGAUGAUCGGUGUAAAUUGUUAUUGUUUUGUUUAAAGAUCUUCUUUCCUGUUCAAAAGUUGACAUCCUCCUGGAUCUUAAUGUAUCGUGUUGCCUUCUUGAGCAUGAGUGAACGUUUGCACCUUUUGUAAUAGUCGUGUGCGAGUCCCCCAGUUGUCCUCAGUGUGAAAAGAUGGAUCUGAACAUCACAUAGCUGCUGUUGGAAAGAGGUCAAAUAUGCAGAAUAUGCUGGGAAAGUAAAGAAUGUGCAGGACCUGGAGGAUUUUUCUGAAGAACAGUGGGUAGUUUAACUGCUCAGGACAAACAAGAGACUCAUGAACAACUCUCACAAAACAUAAACACAGUCACUGAUCAUCCAGCAAAAGUACUUUGACUCAGGAGAUUACAAUAUGGCCAAAGCCAAAAUGAAGAAUAAACAGCUUCCUGCAGCUGCGGCGGAGAAAACCGAGAUCACCGGAGAUCACAUCCCAACUCCUCAGGACCUGCCACAAAGGAAGACCUCGCUGGUGGCCAGCAAACUAGCUGUUUGAUAUGAACUCUGCGAGGACUUUCCUGUUACCAUUCCUGAUGCUUCAAUCUCUGCUUUACCUCCAUUUUACGUGUGUGUGUGUGUCGCUCUCGUUCUCUCUCUUUGUUCUUUUGUGUCCAUUUCCUUCCCUAGCUUUCUAUCGCCUGUGUAAUUGCUCCGAAGAAAUGCUGUUUUGAUCAAAUGUUUGCUGCCGGAUGCCAUCCUUUACCCGUUCACAUGUGGAAACGAAACGUUUUGGCUUUUGAAGUAGUAGAUGUAGUCGCAAUUUCUACUCGCAGGUGUGAAUGCACGGUUAUCUGACUGAAACAAUUGAACAGAAACCUUUUUUAGGAUUUUACUAGUUUUACUCACUCACUCACUCACUCACUCCCUUUCUUCUUUGCAACGGUUCAUGUGUGGUCCAGACAUUUACACUAGCUCUCUCAUUUGUUAUAACGAAAUUCCAGUAAGACGCAGAGGGUUUUUCCAACGUGUGCUGCUCGCCUUCUGCGUGUGAUUGGUGAAACUUGCCUUAAUGAUAUCUUCCACGGUUUCUCCUGGGCAAUAUUUGCCCACUCUGAUCAGCGAAGCCCUUCGGGGUUUAGCCACAAGCUUGUGCCGAUGUGUUUUUCCAGUUAGGUCUUCUGGUUGGGGCAGCUCACUCUUAUUCUCCAAACUGUGCACAAGCACCGACUGUCACAACUGUGCCAUUUGUUUUGUAAAUAAACUAGUUUUGCA